UCCCGCACGAGCGCAACCCUUGUUUUUAGUUGCCUUUUAUGGAACUCUAAAAAGACUGCUGGUUAUAAACCGGAAGGAAGGUGGGGAUGACGUCAAGUCAGCAUGCCCCUUACACCCUGGGCUACACACGUGCUACAUUGGGCGAGACAAUGAGAUGCAAAUCUGCAAAGACUAGCUAAUCUAUAAACUCGUUCUAAGUUCGGAUUGUAGGCUGCAACUCGCCUACAUGAAGGUGGAAUCGCUAGUAAUCGCUGGUCAGCUAUACAGCGGUGAAUUCGUUCCCGGGCCUU
rnacentral:rRNA from 1 species